rnacentral:tRNA from 1 species
GCGGAAUUAGUUUAAUGGCAAAACUCCUGCCUUCCAAGCAGAUGUUGCGAGUUCGAUUCUCGUAUUCCGCUCCA